ensembl:miRNA aca-mir-98 aca-mir-98
CCAUUUACUUCUGUUGGGGUGAGGUAGUAAGUUGUAUUGUUGUGGGGUAGGGAUUUGUGCCCCAAAUCAGAGAUAACUAUACAACUUACUACUUUCCCUAACUGGGG